ensembl:antisense Gm26748 predicted gene, 26748
AAGAAGAGCCCACAAUUGCUUUCCAAAGCCCCACACGUGACCCGGACCCAAGUUAUUUCACAGGGUUGCAACCAAGGGCGUGGACAUCCUGGGUCAAUUCUACUGCUCGGCUACCCCCUAAACCUCUUUGGAAGGGUUUAAUGGCUUUAAUACUUGAUAGAAGAAGUGAGAACUCUUCAACAGAACUUCUUUGGACCCCACAGAUGCAAGAUCUUUGGAUAUAGAGACUGAUAUGACACACCUCCUCCCCCACAGCUGGCUUUCAGAAUUCAGAAGAGCUGGGGAAAGCAUCCUUGAUUUUGGACUUCUAACAUCCAGAGCUACAAGAAAAUAACCUCUGAUGUGCGAUGCCACCUGGUUCUGCUUACUUCUCCUAGAACCUCUGGGAAACUAAAACGAAGGGUGGGGCUGGAGGGUUGCAGUUCAGCUUUCUGCUGCCUGACUGUGCCACAGUGACGGAAACGGGUCACGUGACAGUUCACCUUGCUAAAGACAGCAGUGCAAAUGUAGUUGCUGCUAAGACCAGAAAUCUGGUGAGCAGUGCUACAGGAAAGGAGCCACUGUACUUUGGCCAGCCUUAGUAAUUCUUACUCCAAAGGAUAAUGUGUGUCUGUAUUUGUUUGUUUGUUUGUUUAGUCCUUCAAGUGAUACAUGGUGAAAGAGUACAAAUGUGCAAGCUGAGAGUGCUUUGUUUUAAGUAAUAGACCAUCAUUCAUUCACUCAUUCAGCAGGUACUUACUAAGCACAAGCUAUGUACCAAGAAUUGAACAAAACACUCGAUUUUGGCUGACCAAAUCACUAGGAAUGUGGAGAAGAGCAUGACGGAGGACUGAGAGUAGUCACCAUCCAUCUCCUGAAGGCAGAGCACAGCAGAAUCCUUGUGGGCAGUCAAGAGAAAGAAGGGCAGGAACUAUUGGGAGUGGGGAGGAAGGAGGAACCUCACUGUGGUAACUGGCUCACAGGAGGGACGCUGGUGCUUACAUGGGAUUGGACAAAGGCAGGCAGGGCGAGGGGAGCAGCUGAGCUAAAGAAAGAAAUGGCCAACCAGUUGCUUCUUGUUGGACUUUAAAAUUUUUUCAUUUCAUAGAAUGUAGCCACAAUGACUAGGAUUUAGUAGAAACAAGGAAAACGUUGACACAUUGUCUGCUUUUUGUUGUCUAUCUAUCUGUCUUAGUCAGGGUUUCUAUUCCUGCACAAACAUGAUGACCAAGAAGCAAGUUGGAGAGGAAAGGGUUUAUUCGGCUUACACUUCCAUACUGCUCUUCAUCACCAAAGGAAGUCAGGACUCUUGCUUCCCCUGGCUUGCUUAGCCUGCUCUCUUAUAGAACCAAGACUACCAGCCCAGAGAUGGUCCCACCCACAAGGGGCCUUUCCCUCUUGAUCACUAAUUGAGAAAAUGCCUUACAGUUGGAUCUCAUGGAGGCAUCUCCCCAACUGAAGCUCCUUUCUCUGUGAUAACUCCAGCUGUGUCAAGUUGACACAAAACUAACCAGUACUGCCAUUCCUGUUUCUGUAUUGCCUGUGUCUGCUUUUUACUGAGUACUUGUGAGACCACAUGAUUGGAAAAGCCAAAAAAUAUCUUCUAUCUGCUAGUGUAGAGAAAGUUUGCUGAUUCCUAGUUGUGUGUGUGCGUCUUUGCAUGUGGAGGCCAGGGGACAGCCCCAGCUGACAUUCUUCAAGAGCCUUCUACCUUCUUUUCUGAGAUAGGGUCUUUCACUAGGCCUGGGACUCACCGGAUAAGCUAGGUUGGCUGGCCAGUGAGCCCCAGAGAUCUCCCUGUCUCUGCCUGAGAUGAUAUGUGUAUACUAUACCAUUGCUGGUCCAGCUUAUUUUGCACGGGUUCUUGUGAACAAACACAGUGGAUGAUGUGUGUAUACCACCCAUCAGUCUGGCUUGCUUCACACUGGGUCCUGGGCUAUUUUCCAGCUCUGUUGUUUCUAAAUUCAUGUGUUAAAAAAAAAAAAAAGAGCCUAGAGUCUCUGUACUGUCUCAUACUGCAGUUUUACAAAAUCUUACUGAUCUUGCCACCACUGCCUUUGCUUGAACUUCCUGUGAGAUGUACUGCGGAGACUCCAACUCACUGAUGUAAUCCACAUUCUUUUGGACUUUCGGAUAUUGCCCAAAGUUCUGGCUUAUUGAUUGAUAUUUUGCAUAUUAACCUUACUAUAACUGAUUCCAAUGAUCCAGCACACAGUAGAUGCUUAAUCAAGAGUGAUGAGGUUAUCAAAGAAAGAUCAAGAAACACAGGCCUUGCUCUCCAUCUUGAACGGAAAGUGUCAGGCAUUUUCUCAGUCACAGAAGAGGAAAAUGUUCCAGACGCUUCCUCACAUGGCUCUGUUGUUAAGAGUGACUCUGGCUUCGCUGAAACCUUACUUUGCAUGCGUCUUUUUCUUAUGGUUUAUUAUGGUAACACAAUAGGUGGGCCCGGUAAUUUCAUCACUGGGUUUUAUUUGCCUUUGUGUAAAUGACUUUUCAUUUAGAUUUGUUCCAAAAAAAAAAAAAAAAGUCAAAUGAAAUAAGAUGGAUAUUCUCCUUUCUACCUUGCCUUCAUCCUUUAUUGAGGCACUGUUCCACGUGGCUCUUCUUGUUAAACCUAUAAUAUCAUCUGUGCUAUCAUUCUAAAAUAAUAACCGUAUUUUAAAUGUGACAUGAAAAAGGAAUGGCUUUUAUAAUUCUAAAUAAGAUGUCUAUUUUAAUCUAGUUCAAUGCUGAUGAUUUUCUCUUUAUUUAAAAAAAUAAUAAAUCACCAGGAUUCAAUGUGAACGCC